CAGCAGCCACGGUAAUACAGAGGGUGCAAGCGUUAAUCGGAAUUACUGGGCGUAAAGCGCGCGUAGGUGGUUUGUUAAGUUGGAUGUGAAAUCCCCGGGCUCAACCUGGGAACUGCAUCCAAAACUGGCAGGCUAGAGUAGGGCAGAGGGUGGUGGAAUUUCCUGUGUAGCGGUGAAAUGCGUAGAUAUAGGAAGGAACACCAGUGGCGAAGGCGACCACCUGGGCUCAUACUGACACUGAGGUGCGAAAGCGUGGGGAGCAAACAGGAUUAGAUACCCCCGUAGUCCCUGUCUCUUAUAC
rnacentral:rRNA from 1 species